GUAUGUAGUAUGUUCUAACAUCAUUCUGAUGUGAAUACUCAUAUUUCAAAAAGUUUCUCAGUACUCCAUAUGUUUCAUUUGUCCUAUAAAAACCAUCUUUUUAUACUUCCUUUCUCUUGUUUUAGUGUAGACCUUUUAGUAGCUUCUAGUUAACCUCUAGUAUGAAGUCUGAUUGAAUUUGGUUCUUCUUACCUUUUUCCCUCCAUUUCUGCAUCUCUCACUACCUGUAAAGCAAGAGUCCUCCCUCCAAUAAAAGAAGACUUUCGUUCUCUGACACUCCAAUCCGGAUGCCACUCCAAUCCGGAUCCUUUGAUUACUUCCUCACUUUCAGAACUAAUCCAUCAUCUUCCUCUAAAAUUAAGAGGAUCUUCUCUAGUAAUACCAGAAAUUAUAUAGUUUGAAAGACACUUGAUCAUACUUUUAUGCUGUUUAAGAAUAGUUCUACAGUAGAGAAAGUGGGAGGAAUUUGGCUAAAAUUAUGCCAAUUGAGUGACUAGUUUGAUCAAACCCUCAAAAUAAUGGCUGGGCUCUCUGUUUCUUUCUGCCUGGCACUGUGGGCUCUUUUUUGCAAUCUUUGAGCAUUGUGGGAAAUAAUUUCAUAAUGCAUUUUUGCCCAUUAGAAGAUCUGUAGUGUUUUUCACCAUGAUUUUGGGUAUUUUCUUUCUGUAAUAACUUUGACCCUCUCCCAAUAUUCAUCAUUUACUUAAUAAAUGGUCUAUUUCUCACACAAUGAUUUAGGGGGAAAUUUUGUGAAGCAGAAAUUUUGCAGUGCUCCACGUAAAGUUCUGCUGUUUCCAUAAACUCCACUAGUAGUCUGUCCUGAUUCUUGUGACAAACUGACUUUUUACUUCAUUCUAAGACUCAGCAACAAGAUAAUACGAUGUUAAAAAUGACUUUAAUUUACCUGAGAAUGUUAUCAAAGUAUGCUGCAUAUCCAAGAGUCACAUUUUUAAAAUAAUGAGAGCACAGUUAUUAGACAAGAGUAUUUAAUGAAAUUUGUACCGAUAUAGAUCCUCUAGCACUUGAACAAAAUACUGUAAAACACUGACUUAAUGUCUCCUGUGUGAUACUUUGCAUUUUAUUUUAUUUAAUCUCGAGGUGUAUACUUUUGACAACAAGAACUCUAGACGGAAUAAAUAUUAACUAAAGAGAAACUGAAUUGCAGUAAGUUUGCAAGGAAAUGUAAGUAUACAGAAUUUAACUGCAUGCAAAAUCUUUAACUCUACUGGUUUUCAAAUGGAUACUGUUGUGCUUCAUCCUACGCAAUAUUUCACUUCCUGUGUGCAUUUUAAGGGCAUCUCAUUUUAAAGAAAGUAAACAGAAUAGCGUGGAGGAGAACAUAUAGAAAUGUUGUUUAAUGCUGGGUAUUAUGAAGCUCUUCACACUGACCAUGAAGAUUUAUCACUAGUGAAAAGGAUCAGCAUUAUUUGUAGGUUCACCUUAAUACUGAAAUCCAAGAGCAAGAUGUGAAGCUCAGACUCACAGAUUCUUUUUAAAAUCUGAAGUUCAGUUUUUCUUUGGGAUAAAUAUUAACUGUAUAGACAGAGGAACCCUAUGGAGGAGACUGAAGAUCACAGAGAGAACUAGACAUUAAAAGUGUAGCAAAGCAAAAGAGAAGAAAUGAAUUAGAUUCCAAAAUACUAUCAUAAUGUUUUUCAGCUACUGAAGAACAGAAGUAGUAAUGUUUCCAGAUACAGACAUCUUAAAUAAGAGCAUGUGGAUAUGUGACAGCUGUGGCAGUCAGAUAAGAAAAGCAUCGUGAAACAGGAGAGAAGUCAUUUUCCUGCAACUUAUUUAUAGUCACCAGGGCUAUAAAGGUGACAGAUCCUGAAGGAGGACCUGAGGUGGUAAGGUAAACUGCAGCCACCAUAGCACAGCCCGCAGAAAACAAAAUCACAUCUCAGAGAAAUGCCCUCAUCUUCUCCUUCUCAGACACUGAUGACUAUUUCUACAGAAGAGCAGGAAUAUCCUAACAGAAAACUGGGUGGAUGUGGCCAUGGUAAUGGAUUCCAUUUUUAGAAAAAAAAAAAGAAAAAC
ensembl:lncRNA